rnacentral:rRNA from 1 species
UCGGGAAUUUUGGGCAAUGGGCGAAAGCCUGACCCAGCAACGCCGCGUGAAGGAUGAAGUAUUUCGGUAUGUAAACUUCGAAAGAAUAGGAAGAAUAAAUGACGGUACUAUUUAUAAGGUCCGGCUAACUACGUGCCAGCAGCCGCGGUAAUACGUAGGGACCAAGCGUUGUUCGGAUUUACUGGGCGUAAAGGGCGCGUAGGCGGUAAUUCAAGUCAUCUGUGAAAUCUCCGGGCUUAACUCGGAACGGUCAGAUGAUACUGCUUUGCUAGAGUGCAGAAGGGGCAAUCGGAAUUCUUGGUGUAGCGGUGAAAUGCGUAGAUAUCAAGAGGAACACCUGAGGUGAAGACGGGUUGCUGGGCUGACACUGACGCUGAGGCGCGAAAGCCAGGGGAGCAAACGGGAUUAGAUACCCCAGUAGUCCCUGAGCGGGCUGGCAAGGCGCAU